UGGGCUUGUGCUGAGGCAGUACGUUGUGCCAC
rnacentral:piRNA from 1 species